CGGGGAAACGAAAUAACUCAAAACGGAGAUAAAAAGUACUUAAAAUUAAGUAUUGUGACAACACUUGCUUUUUGGGUACAAACCGAACUGAUCGCGAGGUACUUUUUACUUAAACUUGGCGUUAUCAACAAAGACUUGCUUUUGGGUGAAUUGAGAGUUGUUGUUGUAAAAUAUUUGUUUUGUUUUUCCCUCGCUGAGGAAGUACCCAAAAUGAAGUGCUGUGGUCGCACUUCAUUUUGGAUGAAAAUUUAUUGUGCGCCAUGUUUGUUUCAGAGUUCGACAGAUUUCGUUGUGAAUUACGUGCUUCUUUGCUAAACCCAUCUAUACAUCGACGCGCUACCGCAGAUCCCGAAGGCACCCGAGGACAAAUCGAAAAUAAAGUUGAGCCGGUUCGAAAAUGGAAGAGAUUAGUUUCAGAACAAAAUCGCCGCAAAACAAUCGCAGGGCGGAACCAGAGCUGGAAGUGGAGCCAGAUAGGACGACGCAACGUGACUACCGUGAGAAGAGCACAAGUUCCGGCUAACGGUGCCUCGAGCAAUAUUAUUUAUUGAAUUUAUUUUUUAUGUGCUCUGUAUGAUGUAGGUAUUUUUUAUGAA